rnacentral:lncRNA from 1 species
GGUCCAGUGCCUUCUUCAUCAUGUGCUCACAGUGCUCACCGAUCUUCUGAUGUAGCUUCCACCCCCUCCCCAGCUCUCCGGCAGACGCAAACCACCCUCAGAACUCCACCCGGGACAUCACCCAGAAGGUUUUCUCUGUUGCUGUCGCUUUCAUUUUCUUCUUUGGUCUGCCUUUUAUGAAACUGCAGCAUUUCGGUUUGAUUUGAAUCUGGAUGAAGUCGAAGCGUCCCCUCUAAGUUCAGCAUGGGGACUGGUUCGCAGACGCAAUCAUUUCAGUUAUCAUCAGUUCUCAACAGGUUUCAUGCAGGUUCAAGGCUUGCUUUGGAGACAAAUCACUGAGGUCCAUGGCAGGUAUAGAGUGGAGUUCAAAUCUGCUCUUUGAGAAGAGAAGCCCAGAAGAGAGUGGAUUCUUGAAGCCCCAUGGAGGGCUAGCUACAUUUUACCUGGAGACAAGAUAAUCUGAGGGGCGAAGCCAGUGAUGCAGAGCACCAAGACUCAGAAGAUGAAUAUUGUGCCUGCUUUGGCGAGACAUGGUUCAGACUCAGAAGGAGUAUGUAACGAUAAUAAAGAGAAGAUAUGAUGAUA